rnacentral:rRNA from 1 species
GGACGAACGCUGGCGGCGUGCUUAACACAUGCAAGUCGAACGGAAAGGCCCAGCUUGCUGGGUGCUCGAGUGGCGAACGGGUGAGUAACACGUGGGUGAUCUGCCCCUAACUUCGGGAUAAGCUUGGGAAACUGGGUCUAAUACCGGAUAGGACAAUCGUUUAGUGUCGGUUGUGGAAAGUUUUUUCGGUUAGGGAUGAGCCCGCGGCCUAUCAGCUUGUUGGUGGGGUAAUGGCCUACCAAGGCGUCGACGGGUAGCCGGCCUGAGAGGGUGGACGGCCAAAUUGGGGCUGGGGUAGGGCCCAGGCCUCCAGCGGGGGGCGGAGGGGGGGAAUAUGGAACAAGGGGGGCAGCCUUGAUGCAGCGCCCCGGGGGGGGGGAGGCCGGCUUUCGGUUUGUAACCCUCUUCCGCCGGGGAGGAAGUUUGGGGGGCGUUCCCUAUAAAAAAGACCCCGGCUAACUACGUC